AUACGGAGGGUGCAAGCGUUAAUCGGAAUUACUGGGCGUAAAGGGUUCGUAGGUGGUCUAUUAAGUUAUUUGUGAAAUCCCUGGGCUUAACCUGGGCAGGUCAGAUAAUACUGGUAGACUCGAGUAUGGGAGAGGGUAGUGGAAUUUCCGGUGUAGCGGUGAAAUGCGUAGAGAUCGGAAGGAACACCAGUGGCGAAGGCGGCUACCUGGCCUAAUACUGACACUGAGGAACGAAAGCGUGGGGAGC
rnacentral:rRNA from 1 species